rnacentral:rRNA from 1 species
CCUACGGGAGGCAGCAGUGAGGAAUAUUGGUCAAUGGACGAAAGACUGAACCAGCCAAGUAGCGUGAAGGAUGACUGCCCUAUGGGUUGUAAACUGCUUUUAUACAGGAAUAAAACGAGCCACGUGUGCCUUUUUGCAUGUACUUCAUGAAUAAGGAUCGGCUAACUCCGUCCCAGCAGCCGCGGUAAUACGGAGGGUCCGAGGGUUAUCCGGUUUUAUUGGGUUUAAAGGGUGCGUAGGCGGACUGUUAAGUCAGCGGGAAAAGCCGGGGGCUAAACCCGGGCCAGCCGUUGAAACUGGCUGUCUUGAGAGGUCGAGAGGUAUGCGGAAUGCGCAGUGUAGCGGUGAAAUGCUUAGAUAUUACGAAGAACUCCGAUUGCGAAGGCAGCAUACGGGCGGGGAUCUGACGCUGAGGCUCGAAAGCGUGGGUAUCGAACAGGAUUAGAUACCCUUGUAGUC